rnacentral:lncRNA from 1 species
GGUACUAGAGUCACCGAAAGAGACAUCCUAUUAUAUGCACGUUCACAAGGACAAUGGCGCCAUUGUUCUUCGCGUCUUCAAAGCAGCUACAAGAAGAAACCAAGAUGGAGGGGAGCCCAAAGCAUCUGAGAGAAUUGAUAAAUGAAAGAAACAUGCUUAAAACAUGACCGUUUUAAAGGUGAAUGCUGACCAGUGAGAUGCCAGCCUGCGUGUGAAGAUCCUACAGCAGAAGUGCAUGGCCAGUGACACAAGAACUUGCGAGAGAUGCCAGUCCGCCUGUGAAGAUCCUGCAGCAGGAGUGCAUGUGAGUGGUGCUCUGUUUUGUUUUCUGCUGAGCUUACUGUCGUUGGUCUAGUCUAUGAUGAUCCUAUCCCGAACCUGAAUUCCUGUUGAAAAACCAUACUUACGGAUCUGGCUUCUGAGAUGGACCAUUGCAAAGGACUAUUGUGUUCUUCUUUAAUGUUGGCAGUAACAUAAUGCCUGUGUUCUUAUUUUUAUAUUUUAGAGCCAGUGACACAAGACGUGCGAAUGAAAACUAGAUGUGACCAUCCAGAAAAAGCAUAGACAAAAAAAUGCAGUCUU